rnacentral:rRNA from 1 species
CUCCGUACUUGCCCGCGGCGGCCGGGCUUCCCCCCUGCCCGUCGACGCGGGGUACCGGGGUACGCUUGCUACCCUACCCCUACGCGGCGGACCGGGUGACGUCCUGCUUACGGACACUCUGCCACUUUACGUGGGGGACCAACCACUUCCGACACACGGACCUGCUACACUACCCGCACUACCGUCCUACCGGGACGUACACACGCACGGGGACUCUUCGGACCCUUGCGCUACACCUGACUGACGCCUACACGUCGGACUUACGCUACGUUGGUGGGGUACACACGGCACUACCCACACGGGCGUACCGACUCUUGGUACGCGGGUCUGACGACGGACUGACUCCGCCACCNCCUGGGUACCUGACGACCACCGGGCCCCACGACCUUCCUACCCGGAGACGG